rnacentral:lncRNA from 1 species
UUUUUUUUUAACUACUAUUAUAAUAAACGUUUUAAAUGACAAAACUAUGUAAACUAUUUAAUGUAAUAGAACUAUUAUACAUUAAUAUGAUUUUAUUAGUAAAUUACCCGAAAUAUAUACUGUUCAUGCGGCGUUAAAUAUAUAUAUAUUUGGAUGCAGUGACGUGUUAAAUAUAUGAUUCGAAAUAGGCAGGCCGUUUAGAGUAUACUGAGCCCAGUAUCUAUAAAAUCCGGCCCAUCUAAAUCGACAUCAAAAGUACUCCAUUAGUCUGUUUUGAAACGAAAGGCUUUUAUUAGAUUUUGUUAGCAUCAAAAUAUUAAAUAACACGUUCAUGAGAUGUGGAUUACUAUAAUUACUGCUGUUACUAUACUGUAAAUGGAAUAGUUACUUACCAGAUAAUGUGAUAAUAAAUCAGAAAUGUAUCAAUCGUAUAUAUAGUAAUAUAGUAGUAGUGACGAAUGGCUUGCGAAGUUAUGAGACUUUUUUUUUUUUUUGGUUAACAGGCAUGACUUACUACUAGACUUCAAGUAUUUGUUUAUUUUGUAAAUUUGUAAUGGUUAUUUAAAUAUAUAUACAGUAUAUAUAUAUAUAUAUAUAUGGUAUUUUUGUAUCCAUUGUUGUGAUCUUUCGGUUAUUAGAAAAUAAAAAGGUUUAAAAUAUUAAACAACAUAAUAUAUGUUGGAAUACAUUGUAUAUAUAUAUAUAUAUUCUAUUCGCAUAAUACAAAUCCU